CUGAAUGGUGCUCCCUCCGCUAUGCGCAGCAGCUGACCACUCACACCAGCCUGCUCAUGCCCCUGGUCUAUAACCCGGACAUACGGGGUGGACUAACGCCAGCAGACAUAUAGAACUUUGCACGGACUGACUGGACAUACAUGCACCAAUGGUGCGAAAUUGGCACUUUAAAAAACCCUGGCAGACCUGCUCCCUGACACCACCCCAACGGGCCUCGAUCAGUUCCAUUACUUCCAAAUCAAGUCCUACUACUCCACCACGGUAGCCAAACACUAAUUCCACCGAGACUUUACACGCUUUGAGAAGUUAUGCACGACCAGGCGUCAUAUGGAGAGAGGAAUUUCGGCGCUAUACGCGAUGCUACUGGAAGGUGAGAACAG